CCUACGGGAGGCAGCAGUGGGGAAUAUUGCACAAUGGGGGAAACCCUGAUGCAGCAACGCCGCGUGAGUGAAGAAGUAUUUCGGUAUGUAAAGCUCUAUCAGCAGGGAAGAAAAUGACAGUACCUGACUAAGAAGCCCCGGCUAACUACGUUCCAGCAGCCGGGGUAAUACGUGGGGGGCAAGCGUUAUCCGGAUUUACUGGGUGUAAAGGGGGCGUAGACGGCUGCGCAAGUCAGAAGUGAAAGCCCGGGGCUCAACCGCGGGAUUGCUUUUAAUACUGUGUAACGAGAGUGCAGACGAGGUAGGCGGAAUAAGUGGAGUAGCGGUGAAAUGCUUAGAUAUAAGGGAGAACCCCGAUAGCGAAGGCAGCUUACUAGACUGUAACUGACGCUGAGGCACGAGAGCGUGGGUAGCAAACAGGAUUAGAUACCCGGGUAGUC
rnacentral:rRNA from 1 species